CAUUGAUAAUAGCACACUUAUCGAAAGGUAAGGUCGCAAAGCCAUGGGUCUAAAGAAUUUUUCAAUGAUUGCCAGGUUGCCAAA
rnacentral:ncRNA from 1 species